CAAAGAAGUGGAGAAAACGUUUUGGCUCCUCUCUGAAUCUGUUGUCGCUACAUAAAUGGCAAUAAUAAUAAAGGCUCAGAGAGGAGCUGAAACAUUUUCUCCACUUCUUU